UAAUACGGAGGGGGCAAGCGUUGUUCGGAAUUAUUGGGCGUAAAGGGCGUGUAGGUGGUUUUGCAAGUCAGACGUGAAAGCCCACUGCUCAACAGUGGAAGUGCGUUUGAAACUGCAUCACUUGAGUACGGAAGAGGAGAGUGGAAUUCCCAGUGUAGCGGUGAAAUGCGUAGAUAUUGGGAAGAACAUCUGUGGCGAAGGCGACUCUCUGGCCCGUUACUGACACUGAAACGCGAAAGCUAGGGGAGCAAACGGGAUUAGAUACCCCGGUAGUCCUAGCCGUAAACGAUGGGCACUAGGUGUAGGAAGUAUUGACCCUUUCUGUGCCGCAGCUAACGCAAUAAGUGCCCCGCCUGGGGAGUACGGUCGCAAGGCUG
rnacentral:rRNA from 1 species